rnacentral:rRNA from 1 species
UGGGGAAUAUUGCGCAAUGGGGGGAACCCUGACGCAGCCAUGCCGCGUGAAUGAAGAAGGCCUUCGGGUUGUAAAGUUCUUUCGGUAUUGAGGAAGGUUGAUGUGUUAAUAGCACAUCAAAUUGACGUUAAAUACAGAAGAAGCACCGGCUAACUCCGUGCCAGCAGCCGCGGUAAUACGGAGGGUGCGAGCGUUAAUCGGAAUAACUGGGCGUAAAGGGCACGCAGGCGGUUAUUUAAGUGAGGUGUGAAAGCCCUGGGCUUAACCUAGGAAUUGCAUUUCAGACUGGGUAACUAGAGUACUUUAGGGAGGGGUAGAAUUCCACGUGUAGCGGUGAAAUGCGUAGAGAUGUGGAGGAAUACCGAAGGCGAAGGCAGCCCCUUGGGAAUGUACUGACGCUCAUGUGCGAAAGCGUGGGGAGCAAACAGGAUUAGAUAUCCUGGUAGUCCACGCUGUAAACGCUGUCGAUUUGGGGGUUGGGGUUUAACUCUGGCGCCCGUAGCUAACGUGAUAAAUCGACCGCCUGGGGAGUACGGCCGCAAGGUUA